AAAAAAAAAAAAAAAAAAAGAGGCCAUGGCUGCAGUUAGUGCUUUCACUCUUCUCCGGUACUCUUUCCCUUCAUUCCUUCCCUCUGCAUAAGAUGUUUGAACUUAAAUUGUGAGGCAAUAUUUGGCUAUUAUUUGUGUUUGUAAGCAGGAAUCGUGGAAUUAGUACAAGGGCAUUCUCAAAUGUGAAAUCUUCCCCAAGACCCAUCUCUUAUAUCAACUACAAAUUCCUUCUUUCUAUUCAGUCUCGCAGGUAUUCUCAUUCCUCCUCCCUUAAAAUCCCUUUUCUUUUUCUCUUUCAGAUUUUUGUACAAAUAAUCUAAUCCAUUAGAAGUAGAAUACACCAAAUAGUGGCAAGCAGUUAUGGCUGGUUUUGAAUGUUGGGAUACAUUUAUUCAAUAAAAUAUGUCAGGCAGCUCUUGUUUUGAUAGAUUAUGAGCAAUCAUCCAAGCUAGUAGAUGUUCCAUUUUAGCUUUUAGAUUACCGCAAUAUCUGUGACCCAAAUUGGCUUUUUUUUAAAUAAUUUUUUUUUAAUCAUAGUUAUGGAAUACUCCAAACUGAGAAAUUUGGGGAUUAGAGAAUUGGGAUUUUGGAUUGUUUCUGCUACUGUCAUUCUUUUUCCUUAUCCAAAUAGAAUUUGAAAGUCUAAAGUUCCAUAUGAAGUAAGGGGUUCAUUUCGUUUGCAAAUGUCAAAAGAAUUAAUAUUAGUGACUUAUUAGAUAUUACCAAAGUUUUUUCUCUUUACUAUAUGUGUUACCUAGUGUAAGGGUAGUGAGUCUCAUUUUUAUCUAUUUAUUACACUUCCCUUUUUAACAUAGCAGGAGGUAAAGGUUUUGUGGAUUAUGUUACUAUGCAAUUUUUGCUCUAAUUUGAAGUAUUUGGUCAGAGAGAAAAGUUGGCUCCUAA
rnacentral:misc_RNA from 1 species